UCAACAGGAACAACUGGUUUCCCUUCAAAGUGACCAACCAAUACAAAUUUUCAAAUUAAGAGCUUCCAUACAAGAAAAUUAAUGAAACAAACACUUUAUAUACAUUUCUCCCAGGCAAUACAGAACCGCGUGUAUCUUUCAGUAAUAAGACUUCAGUAUUGCCUGUGUACAUCAAAUCCAAUACAAUUCACAUCAAGCUUCACGAUGAAAUUCCAAGCCUUAGCCAAACUAGUGUAGAUUCCCACAAUUAAACAAGUUGAUCUAACAUUACCACCAACGACUAGAAAGAAAAAAUUAAAAAGAAACAAUAAAUGCAGACCUCAAGUCCUUUUUCAUCUAUCUGCUCUAAAACCAAACCUAUCGACAGUCUAAAUAGCCUUUCAACAGCUAGCUUCUGCCAAAAUCAUACAGUGAAACAGAAGCGUUGAAGAAGAAUAAGGACCAUAUUCAGCAAGACAUCGUAGAAUCAAACUCUUGUUGAAAAUAUUUACCAAGUCAACAAUUAAAUACUUCCCUUGCAUCUUGAUUUUCCAUUUACUCUCACGCGAAGGAAUACACACAUCUACCAAGAUAUGAGCCACACUCCUUCGCAUCCCAAAACUGUUUCCUUCUCGGUGAAGCUCAUGCAGAAAUUUACUGCUUCUGCUUUUGGUGGCACAGACCAAUCUCAGAGAUGUGCAUUGAAGAUGAUUAAUAGAGCCUGAUUCUAGUCUGUAUUGAGCUUCUACAAAUGGGGCAUGAUUCCAAGUCUUCUCCACAGUCACAACAAGUCUGAUGCCCACAACCGAAUGCCAUGUCCUUUCUAUUAGUAAGACAAAUGGGACAAACCUGAUUAUCAUAAGUAGAACUUGAAUAUGGAGCCGUGUUGACUGAGGUAUCAUAUCCAGAAACUGGUGAGUCAUAUCCAGAGCAAGAAGGUACUGAUGAAUCAUAUCCAGAAUAUGAAGGUACACGUUGCUGAAAGCUGCUUGAGCGUGAAGGUUUUCCUCUGUUGGUGAAAGAAGAUGGUCCAUGAAGAGGUGGG
rnacentral:misc_RNA from 1 species